rnacentral:rRNA from 1 species
CCUACGGGUGGCUGCAGUGAGGAAUAUUGGGCAAUGGGGGCAACCCUGACCCAGCCAUGCCGCGUGAGUGAAGAAGGUCUUCGGUUUGUAAAGCUCUUUCGGCCGUGACGAUGAUGACGGUAGCUUCCAACGAAGCCCCGGCAAACUUCGUGCCAGCCGCCGCGGUAAUACGAAGGGUGCGAGCGUUGUUCGGAUUUACUGGGCGUAAAGGGAGUGUAGGCGGAUAAGUAAGUCAGCGGUGAAAUGCCGGGGCUCAACCCCGGAACUGCCAUUAUGACUAUGUAUCUAGAGUGAAGGAGAGGAUAGCGGAAUACCCAGUGUAGCGGUGAAAUUCGUAGAUAUUGGGUAGAACACCAGUGGCGAAGGCGGCUAACUGGACAGUAACUGACGCUGAGGCUCGAAAGCAUGGGGAUCAAACAGGAUUAGAUACCCGUGUAGUC